rnacentral:rRNA from 1 species
GGUGGAGCGAUUAGAAGUGAGAAUGCCGGUAUGAGUAGCGAAAGACAGGUGAGAAUCCUGUCCACCGAAUGACUAAGGUUUCCUGGGGAAGGCUCGUCCUCCCAGGGUUAGUCGGGACCUAAGCUGAGGCCGAACGGCAUAGGCGAUGGUCAACAGGUUGAUAUUCCUGUACCAGUUUCUUUUGUUUGACCGAUGGAGGGACGCAGCAGGCUAAGAUAUGCCCACUGAUGGAUAUGUGGGCGCAAAUAAUAAGUCUGGCGAUGAGUCAAAUGCUUAUCGCUAAGGACAAGUUAUGACGCGGAGGGAAGUACAGUACCGAAGUAUCUGACGUCACACUGCCAAGAAAAGCUUCUAGGGAGAAAGCAACUGCCCGUACCGC